UACGUAGGGGGCUAGCGUUGUCCGGAUUUAUUGGGCGUAAAGAGCGUGUAGGCGGCCAGGUAGGUCCGGUGUGAAAACUCGAGGCUUAACCUCGAGAUGUCAUCGGAAACCAUCUGGCUAGAGUCCGGAAGAGGAAAGUGGAAUUCCUGGUGUAGCGGUGAAAUGCGCAGAUAUCAGGAAGAACACCAAUGGCGAAAGCAGCUUUCUGGGACGGUACUGACGCUGGAGACGCGAAAGCGUGGGGAGCGAACAGG
rnacentral:rRNA from 1 species